GACGUAGGGGGCCAGCGUUGUUCGGAAUUACUGGGUGUAAGGGGUUCGUAGGCGGUGUGGCAAGUCGGGAGUGAAAUCUCUGGGCUCAACCCAGAGGCUGCUUCCGAAACUGCUGUGCUUGAGUGUGGGAGAGGCGCGUGGAAUUGCAGGUGUAGCGGUGAAAUGCGUAGAUAUCUGCAGGAACACCCGUGGCGAAAGCGGCGCGCUGGACCACUACUGACGCUGAAGAACGAAAGCGUGGGUAGCGAACAGG
rnacentral:rRNA from 1 species